rnacentral:rRNA from 1 species
CACGUAGGGUGCGAGCGUUGUCCGGAAUUAUUGGGCGUAAAGAGCUCGUAGGCGGUGUGUCGCGUCGGCCGUGAAAACCUGCAGCUUAACUGUGGGCGUGCGGUCGAUACGGGCAUCACUGGAGUUCGGCAGGGGAGACUGGAAUUCCUGGUGUAGCGGUGAAAUGCGCAGAUAUCAGGAGGAACACCGGUGGCGAAGGCGGGUCUCUGGGCCGAUACUGACGCUGAUCUGCGAAAGCUAGGGGAGCAAACAGG